UACGUAGGGGGCAAGCGUUGUCCGGAUUUAUUGGGCGUAAAGAGCGUGUAGGCGGCCAGACAAGUCUGCUGUGAAAACUCGAGGCUCAACCUCGAGCUGUCGGUGGAAACUGUCUGGCUAGAGUCCGGAAGAGGAGAGCGGAAUUCCUGGUGUAGCGGUGAAAUGCGCAGAUAUCAGGAGGAACACCGGUGGCGAAGGCGGAUCUCUGGGCCUGUCCUGACGCUGAGGCGCGAAAGCUAGGGGAGCGAACAGG
rnacentral:rRNA from 1 species